CAACACCUGCUGGCCUGACAAGCCAAGGGCUAUAAAGGCUGGGAGGGCCCUCAGGGAGGGAACUAGAGGCCUCCUAGCUGAAGGCUGCCUGCAAAGGGGACCUGCUACUACUCUGCACGGGUAGAUGCCAUACUGAAUGGGGACCCCACCACCAACCCACAAGGGAUAGCAGACACCUCCUGACAUCCAGAGGAAAGCACCCCAGAACUGUACAGCAAUGAAGAGGAAGGGGUACCUGGAGGAUGCAGAGCUCUUCAAGCUGCAGCUGAACACAGAGAGAACUCACUCAGGAAGGGGACAGGGGCUCAGUGACCUUGAAAGGCCAUCCCUUCCACACCUGCCGAAAGACUGAUCAAAAUGAGGAGGAAAAAGCAAUGGAUGAGGGAGGAUGUGUUCGCAGAGCUACUCACGACUCCUGAGUCCAGAGCCAUGAGACCAGGGAAGAAAGGGAAUGGAUGCUGGAGGAAAGGCACAAGUGCCAAAAGGUACACUCAGUCUCAGAGGUAAACCAAGACAUGCAGCUCUUCAGACAACACACUCAGCUGUCUCAGAGUAUUAUGAAGAACAGCAUCCAAAAAGACCUGCACCCCAACAGUCACUAUACUGCGUGGACAAUACCUUCUUCCCAGGGCUGGAGCCAUAUCUCACCAAUGCCCCCACUCCCCUCAAGGUGCCAGCAUUCCCUGCAACAAUAACCUUUCCACUCAGUGCCACCGGACAAAGAGAACUGCCAUGACUACACGUACACUAAUUUGUGAUGCAGCCCAGAGCAGCCAGCACCUUGCACUCUAUUUUUUGUCAGAUUGUUCAAACGCUGUAGAUAAUCUUUCCACUUCUUUAAUUCACCAUGUCGAUGUUUUCUCCUUAGUCUUCCAAAUAUUAUGUAAUACACAACAUACAGGAAUAUUUGGCUCAGAGAUUUAGCCUAGUCAUGAAAUAUCUCCGUCAUUCCUUUAAUCUGUCAAAUGUACACGCCACAAUCCAUCUGCACCUGCUCAAGUAAUAGUUAAAUGUUUCCUUGGUGUGGUCCAGCUAAUCUGUGUAUAGAUUCAUGGGACAGGGAAGCAAAAGGAUAAGACUUGGGUCCCUGAGAGUAACGACUGGCACAACAACCCCACCAAUGCGAAUAUGCUAGUAUGGGGGAAAAUGUCCCUGCUGGCGUCUUUACAAAACUUCUGUAUACCUAAAGCAUCCUGUACCUUUCCUGACCACCCAAUGGUAAGUUAGUGAAAUGUCGACAAUAAUCUACCCAUGCUUCCAUGAUUAUGUAAUCAGAAGUGUGGGAAGGAGGGAGGAAAGGGGGUGGAACGAAUGGGGAUAUACACUGCAUCUAUUGCCCCAAAGCA